rnacentral:rRNA from 1 species
GUACUGUGAAGGAAAGAUGAAAAGCACUUUGAAAAGAGAGUUAAAAGGGCUUGAAAUUGUUGAGGGGGAAGGAAAUGGUUGUCGGUGUGCACUUUGGUUUUAUGUUUAGUUAACGCUAAGCCUAUCAACGCAUUGUGCUGGUCAGCGUGGGUUGGACGGGCGGUAUAACCUUGUACUGCCGCCUGUCCGACCGAGGUCGGAGGUAACGCUCGAGACGCUGGCGGAAGAUAACCAUUUCACCCGUCUUGUAACACGGACCAAGAAGUCUAACAUGUGUGCGAG